CUCAGGAUGAAACGCUAGCUACAGGCUUAACACAUGCAAGUCGAGGGGCAGCAUUGGAGUAGCAAUACUCAGAUGGCGACCGGCGCACGGGUGAGUAACACGUAUCCAACCUGCCGCUUACUCGGGGAUAGCCUUUCGAAAGAAAGAUUAAUACCCGAUGGUAUAAAGAGUUCGCAUGUUCUCUUUAUUAAAGAAUUUCGGUAAGCGAUGGGGAUGCGUUCCAUUAGAUAGUUGGCGGGGUAACGGCCCACCAAGUCUACGAUGGAUAGGGGGUUCUGAGAGGAAGGUCCCCCACAUUGGAACUGAGACACGGUCCAAACUCCUACGGGAGGCAGCAGUGAGGAAUAUUGGUCAAUGGACGAGAGUCUGAACCAGCCAAAAGUAGCGUGAAGGAUGACUGCCCUAUGGGUUGUAAACUUCUUUUAUAAGGGAAUAAAGUGAGGGACGUGUCCCUUUUUGUAUGUACCUUAUGAAUAAGGAUCGGCUAACUCCGUGCCAGCCGCCGC
rnacentral:rRNA from 1 species